rnacentral:rRNA from 1 species
CCUACGGGAGGCAGCAGUGGGGAAUAUUGCACAAUGGGGGAAACCCUGAUGCAGCGACGCCGCGUGAGGGAAGAAGUAUUUCGGUACGUAAAGCUCUAUCAGCCGGGAAGAAAAUGACGGUACCUGACUAAGACGCCCCGGCUAACUACGUGCCAGCAGCCGCGGUAAUACGUAGGGGGCAAGCGUUAUCCGGAUUUACUGGGUGUAAAGGGAGCGUAGACGGGAGCGCAAGGCUGGAGUGAAAUCCCAUGGCUUAACCAUGGAACUGCUUUGGAAACUGGGCAGCUAGAGUGCAGGAGAGGUAAGCGGAAUGCCUAGUGUAGCGGUGAAAUGCGUAGAUAUUAGGAGGAACACCAGUGGCGAAGGCAGCUUACUGGACUGUAACUGACGUUGAGGCUCGAAAGCGUGGGGAGCAAACAGGAUUAGAUACCCCUGUAGUC